rnacentral:rRNA from 1 species
UACGUAGGGUGCGAGCGUUGUCCGGAAUUAUUGGGCGUAAAGAGCUUGUAGGCGGUUUGUCGCGUCUGCUGUGAAAAUCCGGGGCUCAACCCAGGACUUGCAGUGGGUACGGGCAGACUAGAGUGUGGUAGGGGAGACUGGAAUUCCUGGUGUAGCGGUGAAAUGCGCAGAUAUCAGGAGGAACACCGAUGGCGAAGGCAGGUCUCUGGGCCACUACUGACGCUGAGAAGCGAAGGCAUGGGGAGCGAACAGGAUUAGA